rnacentral:tRNA from 1 species
UAGGACGUGGUGUAGGGGAAGCACGAAGAAUUUUGGGUUCUAAGGUGUAGGUUCGAAUCCUGUUGUCCUAG